AGGGAAUCUUCCACAAUGGGCGAAAGCCUGAUGGAGCAACGCCGCGUGAGCGAAGAAGGUCUUCGGAUCGUAAAGCUCUGUUGUAAGGGAAGAACAAGUGCGGUAGUAACUGACCGCACCCCGACGGUACCUUACGAGAAAGCCACGGCUAACUACGUGCCAGCAGCCGCGGUAAUACGUAGGUGGCGAGCGUUGUCCGGAAUUAUUGGGCGUAAAGCGCGCGCAGGCGGUCUCUUAAGUCUGAUGUGAAAGCCCCCGGCCCAACCGGGGAGGGUCAUUGGAAACUGGGAGACUUGAGUGCAGGAGAGGGAAGCGGAAUUCCAUGUGUAGCGGUGAAAUGCGUAGAGAUAUGGAGGAACACCAGUGGCGAAGGCGGCUUCCUGGCCUGUAACUGACGCUGAGGCGCGAAAGCGUGGGGAGCAAAC
rnacentral:rRNA from 1 species